UGUGCAGAAGAAUGGGACACGCAUCGCUUCUGUGGCUGCUCUCUUGUGGCCUAUUUCUCUUCUCAGUGCUGAGCUGCGUAACCUAUGGAGCUUGUCUGACUGUGAGUCCCAGCAGCUCUC